rnacentral:rRNA from 1 species
GAUGAACGCUGGCGGUGUGCCUAAUACAUGCAAGUCGAGCGAACAGACGAGGAGCUUGCUCCUCUGACGUUAGCGGCGGACGGGUGAGUAACACGUGGAUAACCUACCUAUAAGACUGGGAUAACUUCGGGAAACCGGAGCUAAUACCGGAUAAUAUAUUGAACCGCAUGGUUCAAUAGUGAAAGACGGUUUUGCUGUCACUUAUAGAUGGAUCCGCGCCGCAUUAGCUAGUUGGUAAGGUAACGGCUUACCAAGGCAACGAUGCGUAGCCGACCUGAGAGGGUGAUCGGCCACACUGGAACUGAGACACGGUCCAGACUCCUACGGGAGGCAGCAGUAGGGAAUCUUCCGCAAUGGGCGAAAGCCUGACGGAGCAACGCCGCGUGAGUGAUGAAGGUCUUCGGAUCGUAAAACUCUGUUAUUAGGGAAGAACAAAUGUGUAAGUAACUAUGCACGUCUUGACGGUACCUAAUCAGAAAGCCACGGCUAACUACGU